AUGAACGCUGGCGGCGUGCCUAAUACAUGCCAGUCGAGCGAACAGACGAGGAGCUUGCUCCUCUGACGUUAGCGGCGGACGGGUGAGUAACACGUGGAUAACCUACCUAUAAGACUGGGAUAACUUCGGGAAACCGGAGCUAAUACCGGAUAAUAUAUUUAACCGCAUGGUUCAAUAGUGAAAGACGGUUUUGCUGUCACUUAUAGAUGGAUCCGCGCCGCAUUAGCUAGUUGGUAAGGUAACGGCUUACCAAGGCGACGAUGCGUAGCCGACCUGAGAGGGUGAUCGGCCACACUGGAACUGAGACACGGUCCAGACUCCUACGGGAGGCAGCAGUAGGGAAUCUUCCGCAAUGGGCGAAAGCCUGACGGAGCAACGCCGCGUGAGUGAUGAAGGUCUUCGGAUCGUAAAACUCUGUUAUUAGGGAAGAACAAAUGUGUAAGUAACUAUGCACGUCUUGACGGUACCUAAUCAGAAAGCCACGGCUAACUACGUG
rnacentral:rRNA from 1 species